rnacentral:rRNA from 1 species
GAUGAACGCUAGCGGCAGGCUUAACACAUGCAAGUCGAGGGGUAUAGUUCUUCGGAGCUAGAGACCGGCGCACGGGUGCGUAACGCGUAUGCAAUCUACCUUUUGCAGAGGGAUAGCCCAGAGAAAUUUGGAUUAAUACCUCAUAGUAUGUGAGAAUGGCAUCAUUUUCACAUUAAAGUCACAACGGCAAAAGAUGAGCAUGCGUCCCAUUAGCUUGGUGGUAAGGUAACGGCUUACCAAGGCAACGAUGGGUAGGGGUCCUGAGAGGGAGAUCCCCCACACUGGUACUGAGACACGGACCAGACUCCUACGGGAGGCAGCAGUGAGGAAUAUUGGACAAUGAGCGCAAGCCUGAUCCAGCCAUGCCGCGUGCAGGAUGACGGUCCUAUGGAUUGUAAACUGCUUUUGUACAGGAAGAAACACUGGUUCGUGAACCAGCUUGACGGUACUGUAAGAAUAAGGAUCGGCUAACUCCGUGCCAGCAGCCGCGGUAAAAC